rnacentral:rRNA from 1 species
UUCGCAAUGCCCGAAAGGGUGACUACGCGACGCCGCGUGCAGGAUGAAGGCCUUCGGGUUGUAAACUGCUGUCAGGGGGGAAGAAAGCUCGCGUGUUAACAGCAUGAGAGUUUGACAUCACUCCCAAAGGAAGCCACGGCUAACUCUGUGCCAGCAGCCGCGGUAAGACAGAGGUGGCAAGCGUUGUUCGGAUUCAUUGGGUGUAAAGGGUCCGUAGGUGGCUAUAUAAGUCCGAUGUGAAAGCCCAUGGCUCACCCAUGGAACUGUCCCCCGGACUGCACGGCUCGAGGAAGGAAGGGGAGAAUGGAAUUCCCGGUGUAGCGGUGAAAUGCGUAGAUAUCGGGAGGAACGCCGGUGGCGAAAGCGAUUCUCUGGUCCUUUCCUGACACUGAGGCGCGAGAGCUAGGGGAGCAGACAGGAUUAGAUACCCUGGUAGUCCUAGCUGUAAACGAUGGGCACUAAGUAGAGGGGUUUU